rnacentral:lncRNA from 1 species
AAAAGACUCUCUCAGCUGCUCCUGAAAACAUCGUGCUUCUGUAAACACUCAGACAGCUCAUCAAAAUCUCGAGCUGUAACCAUGGGGAAAAUAUCGAAACAUGGAUCUGCCCCUGCAAUCAGAACAGCUUAAUCCACAUUCCCGACAAUGCCUGAAUUUUUGUCAGCCCCAAAGGGGUUCCCAGAAGGGCUUCCUCAUCCCCAGAAGAUAAACCAGCACCUAAGGGGAUACCACCUGGGUCAGGGAGCGUAUUUCCUGGUGUUACUAUGUCACAUUCACGUGAUCUGUUCGUUGAGCAAAGAUCUAAAUUCUCGAGCCUGGUGUUCGUGGACAGGGCGCUCAAGCUGAGCCUGAGCCCGGCUUCUUCGCAGUCUUGUUUGAUUCAGGUCAACAGCUGUCCACCAAGCAUUCUCUGUGCCAAGCGCUCUGCUAGGAAUGAGGACGGUGGGAGGUGGAGAAGCGGCCGCGUCCACAGCGGAGGGCGGGCAGGGAAGGCGGCGCACCCACGUUAUCGGGAUGCUGAUGCUCAGCGAGAGCGUCUGGGAAGGAGGCGUGUCCCGGGCACCACGUGACUGUGGCCCCGGAGGAGAAAGGCACUUUUGCUUGAGGGGAGGCCUUCCGAAGAGAGAGAUAUAGGAAGUGGAUCUUAAUCUGCCGCAGGAAAGGAUUCCCCAGCAGGAGAGCGGGAGAGGUUUUCAUCUGAGGUCCUGCGUAUUAAACAGCAUUCAGCAGGAGAUGAGCUGACAUGAUGGAGGAGCUGGGCCGGGGCCAGAGUGGAGGCUCAAGCAGAUUCCCCAGCCCCUGGGGGCAGCCCUCCACCCUAAGAGAAACCGAGACAUGGAUGAGUCAGGACAUGCCUUCCCUGCCGACUCGCCCGGCCUGCUCGGGAUCAGAAUCAGCCAACACCCAUUCCCAACACACUGGUUACACCAUCCACUCGCCACCCUCGAGCUGGGACCCACCCAGCUCUGCCUUUAAGGGUGGCGCUCGGCUUGCUGUUCUGCGGAGGCCCACACCCUCUCUGUGGCUUUAUCCUCUACUUUAACCCUCCCACAGAAGCACAGACAGAUUAUCCCGGCCCCUGGGAAGCACCUCCAGUUCUCAGGCAUCGGAAACACAGACGCACUUAUCAGGUUACCGCUAGAACCACAUACGUGCCGGAGAAGAGGCAGCCCUGGAAGCUCAGCCGUUAACGGCAGUACCAGGAUUCCAACCCGCGUGCUUGGUUCUGUCCCGGACACAGGGCCGGAGGCAAUGCUGCUGCCUGCUCCCUUGGCAAUGAAGCCUGGUGUUAUCUGCAGCUGGGGUGAUGGUGGACACUCGAACACUGUUCCCCAAGGCCUGGCAGGGUGAAGAAGUGCACUUUCAGAUGAACCCCAAGUUCCAGCUUCAGACUCCCUGGGGAGAUGUUCUCAGCUGGAGGCAGUGCCCUAAGCAUCACUGGAAACAUCUCGGGGGAUGGAACAAGUCAGUUCUAAACUGGUUUUCAAGUACUGAGCUGUGGACACACAGACCACAGACAUGCAGCCCAGGCAGGGGUAAUGAAGGAAGGCCUCACAGAGGUGUCUUCCGGCGUUUUGUCUGCAGUAAACGUUUUCCUGCCAAGAGCUUUUUCUGAAAGCAGAAUUGUCUCCUCAGGACAGAUUCCUGGGAGAGAAACGACGGGGUCAGAAGUUGUGGGCAUCUUUAUGGCUCUGGAUAUCCAUCCCUCAUCAAAGAUCAUGGUGACUUUUUUUAUUUUGAAUUGUGAUUCUUGUAGUUGAUGCUGUUAUUGUUACGAAAGGAUUAGAUGAUCGAUGUAGAAAACCUGGAAAAGUCGAAAGAUGCAAAUAAAAAUCUCCCGUAUUUCACCCACCUAAAUGGAAUCCUUAUCAGUAACGUGUUGGUGUAUCUUUUUCCUGUAUUUAUUUUUCUUUAAUGUAAGUUUUAGGGUUUUUUGUUUGUUUCAGUGCAUGCAUGAAUUAACAUAAUUGUGAUGAUACUCUGAAUAAAUUGGAGAUCACAGUUUUC